UUAGGAUGGACUGGUUGGAUCUCUUUCCAGUCCAAGGGACUCUCAAGAAUCUUCUCCAACACCACAGUUCAAAAGCUAUUAUGACAAUGCUAAUAAAAAUAACAAUAGUUACCUCCAACUGAGCAAUUAUUCUGUGCAAGGGCCUUUUAGAUACUAUCUCAUUUACUUUGUCAUAUCAAUUAAUUAGAAAGACACUAAUUAUUUCCAGCUGAUAGAUGAGGAGACUGACACUUCAUUCUGUAAAGUGCCCAAGGUCACUUGUUAAUGAAGGGCAGUUCUGAGGUUAGGAUCUAAGACUACUUCACUCCAUCGCCAGUACUGUAUUCAACACUGUCCUAUGCAAAGUACACCCUCCUCCCACAAAAGUGCAUAAAACCUCCUAUGUCAUCAUCACAAUUUUGAUUAGUAUUGACCAAAAAGGAUUAUUGCUAUUGUCACUCAUCCAUGUUACUACUACAGCCAUAGGACCCUGUCAAAAAGUAAAUUAAAGACACACAUGAUGCCUCUUGGGCUACAGGAUGCCUGGAUGCUCAGAGCCUAAGGCCAACCGUGCUAGGACCACAGAGGGGAGAGAGGCUCUGCCCUCCUCUUUCAAUAAAGCUAUUGGACUAAUUUUAAAAAUAAAAAGGAUACACAUAAUGACAGAUUUUAAAAAAAUGGACUAAUCAGGUCCACCAGACCAUGCCUUUCCUGUAAACAACCCAUUUAGGUUGCUGUAUCAUUUUUCUAGUCAGUCUGACUUCCUGAUGGAAAUCACAGACCUGUGACUGAGCACAGAAGUUACGGGGAAAUUCCAAAGCUAAAGGCCCUCCAGAUGGCUGGAAUAAGACCACAUGCCCUGGGUUCCUUUAUGGAACUCACGGAGGCUUUCAGCUCAUAGUGAAGCAUGUGGAAUAAACAGCUGACCAAAAGGAACCAAAUAUUUAUGUUGAGCAUCAUGUACUCAUAUCUGACUGCUUCCGCUACUCUGUGAGUUAGGUACAGUUUCCUCACUAUGACUAAGAGGAAAGGUGUGCCUAGAGAGGAUGAGUAACAUGUCCAAGGUCACACAGCUUCUAUGCAUUAAUCCCAAUAAUAACUAAUAUUUGGAAACUUAAACUUUUGGUAUAUUCCUGGGACUGUUCCAGUCUGUGUACUAAUUCACUUAACUGUUAAAAUUAAACGGGCAAGUCCUGAUAGUUUUGCCAUUUUUCAGAGGAAGAAACUGAGAUCCAAAGUGAAUCAUCUAGUGGGAAGGAGGAAAAUUAGGAUGCGAAUCCAAGUUGGCUUGAUUCCCAGGGCCGCAUUCUUUCAAUCAAGUAACAGCUAUUACACCAGGGGUAUUCAGAGGGCUGAUUGGAGAAUAAUUUAGACAAGGUACUUUCCGGGAAUUGGCAUGACCCCACCCUCCCUUUCAAGAAACAAGAGGACAUUCUGGAAUGUUGCAACAUUGGGCAGGCCACCGUUGGAAAGGGAGUGUGUCACUGGCUGUAAAAUUGUUUUCAAUUGUAGAACACGGUUAUGUAAUCUUUCCUUCCCCUAUUUUUAUGAUGAAGAGUCAAAGAUUCAUGACGAGGCAGUUUUGCUUCUCUGGGAGACAAUCCAGUUGAAAAGAAGCCCAUCACCUAGAAAUCAGCAGCUAUCGGGCCAGCAACCAGAGAAACAUUCAUUGACUGCAAAGUGUUAUAGCGGAGGGUGGAAAGGUACACAGAGAAGAGACAGCUGACUCACACCCUCAAGGAGAUGCCAGUCGGGCGGUAGAGACAGACUGUGAAACACCAGAACAAAAAAAGUCUUCUGAAGAGCCCUUCUGUGUGACAGGGCCCAUGAUGAGUACGGCAGACUUGGGCACGGGCUCUCUGGCCUCUCUCUGUGGCCUCCUCUUCUGAUGUCGCAGGAACGGUGAGAGGCCUGGCCUAGAUUUAAGUCAGAGCCGCCUGACCCCCCGGCACCACGUUGACUGUUCCUGAAGGACACAUCACUGCUGUCGUGGGGGCUGUAGCAAUCGUACAACGAUAGGAAUGCUGCCCCUACUGACAACCAUUCAAAGGACAGAGGUGCAGGGAGAGGGGGGAAACUCAUGAGGGUGGAUUAACUGAAGCGAUUCUACUUCAAUCUGUUUUAUGUUUGGGGGUCUUGUUAAAAGUUUUAGCUUUAUUUUUUUUUCUUCCUUCCUUCUCUCCUCCUUCCUCUCUCUUUCACUUUCUUUCUUCUCUGCUCUAAAACUUUUGUGCAACACUCUAUCUAGUGCAGAAAUUCCUUCCUCUACCCUAAAAUAAGAAUAAAAAACACACUAAUUUUUUCUCUUCA